CGGAAGUGACGUCAAAUAGGCGCACCAGUUGGUGUUACUCACAAAUGAACAAUAGUUGUAUCUUUGAAAAAUUAAAUUGACGUUACUAUGUUGAAAUAUGAAUUUAGUUUCACAGACCAAAGCGUUACUGAAGCACAUGGAAAAAAAUAAAUGUUAAAUAUGCAAUGCAUUAUAGCAACAAUGGUACAGAAAAUAAGAUUGACACCACUUUUAAUGUGCCACCUGGACCUGUCUCUUCCCCCAAGAAUGCUGAACAACUGGAAGAGCCACCAUCUUAGUCAGUCUGCCUGUUACAGAAGUCGGGACAAUUCAUUUUAU